AUACGUAGGGUGCGAGCGUUGUCCGGAAUUACUGGGCGUAAAGAGCUCGUAGGUGGUUUGUCGCGUCGUCUGUGAAAUUCCGGGGCUUAACUCCGGGCGUGCAGGCGAUACGGGCAUAACUUGAGUACUGUAGGGGAGACUGGCAUUCCUGGUGUAGCGGUGAAAUGCGCAGAUAUCAGGAGGAACACCGGUGGCGAAGGGGGGUCUCUGGGCAGUAACUGACGCUGAGGAGCGAAAGCAUGGGUAGCGAACAGGAUUAGAUACCCUGGUAGUCCAUGCCGUAAACGUUGGGCGCUAGGUGUAGGGGUCUUCCACGACUUCUGUGCCGUAGCUAACGCAUUAAGCGCCCCGCCUGGGGAGUACGGCCGCAAGGCUAAAACUUAAAGGAAUUGACGGGG
rnacentral:rRNA from 1 species